UUGCACGCUGGCGGCAGGCCUAACACAUGCCAGUCGAACGGUAACAGGAAGCAGCUUGCUGCUUCGCUGACGAGUGGCGGACGGGUGAGUAAUGUCUGGGAAACUGCCUGAUGGAGGGGGAUAACUACUGGAAACGGUAGCUAAUACCGCAUAACGUCGCAAGACCAAAGAGGGGGACCUUAGGGCCUCUUGCCAUCGGAUGUGCCCAGAUGGGAUUAGCUAGUAGGUGGGGUAACGGCUCACCUAGGCGACGAUCCCUAGCUGGUCUGAGAGGAUGACCAGCCACACUGGAACUGAGACACGGUCCAGACUCCUACGGGAGGCAGCAGUGGGGAAUAUUGCACAAUGGGCGCAAGCCUGAUGCAGCCAUGCCGCGUGUAUGAAGAAGGCCUUCGGGUUGUAAAGUACUUUCAGCGGGGAGGAAGGGAGUAAAGUUAAUACCUUGGCUCAUUGACGUUACCCGCAGAAGAAGCACCGGCUAACUCCGUG
rnacentral:rRNA from 1 species